ensembl:lncRNA
GGUGCACAGUCAAAAAGUGUGUGGUACAGCCGUCACUCCCUUUCCUCUUCUGGCCCACAGCAUCGUCUACAUUUGGCACUAUGCAGUUGGGAUUUUGGAAAACUGGACAGGAGCAAAAAACUGCUCUCUGCAGUCUGUCUGAAUGGAAAUACCUCUGCAAGCACGAUCUGUGGCGGCUAAACGCAUAGUGAGGGUGUGCUGAGAACGCUAGACGCCCCAGUCUGCAAGAUCUUCAACUCUUUCCCCUGGCAACUCUUUCCUUCAACGUCUCUUUGAAAAGCUGUCAAAGCAAUUCAAAGGGACAUUGAGUCUUAAUGGACCACAUUAAAUUGCUUAAUCUGCUGCACUGAGCUGCAGCCACAAGGUGGUUGGUGCCUGGUGUGGAAGUUGCUAUGAGCCAUUUGAUCCUUACACAACUGUUGCAAGAGCAUGGUCAACAUAGCCGGCAAUAAGUCAGAGUCGUUCUCGGUGGGUGUUGGACUUCACCAGGGACAGAAUUACUAGGUGUAGCCAAGUAGUGGAAGGAUUCCACUUGGGUGGUCUCAGAAUCUAAUCUCUGCCUUUUGCAGAUGAUGUUGUUCUGUUGGCUUUAUCAGGUGGUGGCCUCCAACUCACGCUGGAGUGGUUCGCAGCCAAGUGUGAAGUGGUGGGAAUGAAAAUCAGCACCUGAAAAUCUGAGGCAAUGGUUCUCAGCCCACUCUGCGUCGGGACAAGUUUCCACCCCGAGUGGAGGAGCUUAAAUAUCUCGGGUCUUGUUCACAAGUGAGGUGAGCGGGAGAUCGACAGAUGGAUUGGUGCUGUGGCUGCAGUGAUGUAGACGCUGUACCGAGGGCAGACCCAAGCUACACUGGAAAGAGGUUAUAUAUUUCGGCUGGCCUGGGAAUGUCUUGGUAUUCCUCUGGACAAGCUGGAGGUGUUGGCCAGGGAGAGGGAGGUCUUGGCUUCUUUGCUUAGGCUGCUGUCCCCAUGACCCAACCCCAGAUAAGCAGAGGAAAACGGAUGGAUGGAUGGAUGGAUGAAUGGAUGGAUGGAUGGAUGGAUGAAUGGAUGGAUGGAUGAAUGGACUGAGUCCAUGAAGUCAACGUAGAGUUUACUGAGGUCACAAAUGUCGCAACCAGAAGAGUCGCCCCCUCCUGGCCAUUUACAAAAAAGGCAGGUUUGAGGCAAUUCAAAGCUAAUGGCUUCAUUUUUUAGACCAAGAAGUGGUCACCAUCUUCGUAUGCAGUCUAGAUAUACACUGAAAAAAAGGGACUGGCCAUCUCUUGGAUUUAUGUAAGCAUCUUGCAUGCAUUUAACACAAUUGCCUCAUGUUUUAAAGUUAAAUGUAACUAUAUAGUGUAAAAACUACAUGAUAUGCAGAAAGGGUGUAUUAAAUUGUUCAUAUCAUGUUCAGGUGACGUAAGUCAAUAAGAUAGCAACGUUAAAUCUCGUGAAACCACGCGUGAUUUCAUCUCGCGGGCUUUGGAUCGUGGUUUAAAAAAGGCAUCCAUCUCAGUCAAGUCGAGCAGCCAACUCUACGUUUUUGGUAUGUCUUGAUUUUUUGAAUUCAUUUUUACCAUAAUUCAGCC